rnacentral:misc_RNA from 1 species
UACAGAGGGGGCAAGCGUUGUUCGGAAUUAUUGGGCGUAAAGAGCGCGUAGGCGGCUUGUUUAGUCUGGUGUGAAAGCCCUCGGCUUAACCGGGGAAGUGCAUUGGAUACUGGCAGGCUUGAGUGCGAGAGAGGGAAGUGGAAUUCCAGGUGUAGCGGUGAAAUGCGUAGAUAUCUGGAGGAACACCGGUGGCGAAGGCGGCUUCCUGGAUCGUAACUGACGCUGAGGCGCGAAAGCGUGGGUAGCAAACAGG